rnacentral:rRNA from 1 species
UACGUAGGGUGCAAGCGUUGUCCGGAAUUAUUGGGCGUAAAGAGCUCGUAGGCGGUCUGUCGCGUCUGCUGUGAAAACUCAGGGCUUAACCCUGAGCUUGCAGUGGGUACGGGCAGACUAGAGUGCGGUAGGGGAGACUGGAAUUCCUGGUGUAGCGGUGAAAUGCGCAGAUAUCAGGGAGGGAACACCCGGUGGGCGAAAGGCGGG